rnacentral:rRNA from 1 species
GAUUAACGCUGGCGGCGUGCAUAACACAUGCAAGUCGAACGAUGAAACUCAUUAGAUUUCUUCGGAAUGAAAAUGAAUGGAUUAGUGGCGAACGGGUGAGUAACGCGUGAGUAACCUGCCUUACACAAGGGGAUAGCCUCUGGAAACGGAGAAUAAUACCCUAUGAAACCAGACAAUCGCAUGAUAAUCUGGUCAAAAUGUUUAGUGGUGUAAGAUGGACUUGCGUCUGAUUAGCUAGUUGGUGAGAUAAAAGCUCACCAAGGCAACGAUCAGUAGCCGGCUUGAGAGAGUGUACGGCCACAUUGGGACUGAGACACGGCCCAGACUCCUACGGGAGGCAGCAGUGGGGAAUUUUGCACAAUGGGGGAAACCCUGAUGCAGCGACGCCGCGUGAUUUAGAAGGCCUUCGGGUUGUAAAAAUCUUUUGUAUAGGAAGAAAAUGACAGUACUAUACGAAUAAGGUCCGGCUAAUUACGUG